rfam:Ectocarpus siliculosus strain Ec 32, whole genome shotgun sequence assembly, chromosome LG09
AUACCUUCUCGGCCUUUUGGCUAAGAUCAUGUGUAGUAUCUGUUCUAAUCAGUGUGAAAACUGAUUGACACUCAUCGAGUGUCAUUUUCACACCUGUUUUUGAAAUCGCCGGGUUCUCGCUGCUUGCAGUGUUCCGGCAGGAUUUCCUCGGCAUUCCACUACCGCCUUGUGAGGUCCGUCCCCU